rnacentral:rRNA from 1 species
UACGUAGGAUGCAAGCGUUGUCCGGAAUUAUUGGGCGUAAAGAGCUCGUAGGCGGCUUGUCGCGUCGUUCGUGAAAACCUGGGGCUCAACCCCAGGCUUGCGGGCGAUACGGGCAGGCUAGAGUUCGGUAGGGGAGACUGGAAUUCCUGGUGUAGCGGUGAAAUGCGCAGAUAUCAGGAGGAACACCGGUGGCGAAGGCGGGUCUCUGGGCCGAUACUGACGCUGAGGAGCGAAAGCGUGGGGGAGCGAACAGG